rnacentral:rRNA from 1 species
UACAGAGGUGGCAAGCGUUGUUCGGAUUUACUGGGCGUAAAGGGCGCGUAGGCGGCCACCGCAAGUCGACUGUGAAAUCUCCGGGCUUAACCCGGAGCGGCCAAGUGAUACUGUUGUGCUAGAGUGCGGAAGGGGCUACUGGAAUUCUCGGUGUAGCGGUGAAAUGCGUAGAUAUCGAGAGGAACACCUGCGGCGAAGGCGGGUAGCUGGGCCGACACUGACGCUGAGGCGCGAAAGCCAGGGGAGCGAACGGG